GACAGUUGGAGCUAUCUUAUGAUCAAUCAGACCACAUGAUGACAGAAUAUAUUGAAUCAGACUCCUCAGCCAAAAACACUCGCGACUAGCUUCAUGAAUCGCCAGUAUUUCGGCAAGAUUAGAGGAUGUUGUAGCAAUCGUCUGUUUCGUGGACCUCCAUGAUAUAGCUGUACCACCAUAUAUUUUCGUUUGUGUGAAU